UACGUAGGGUGCGAGCGUUGUCCGGAAUUAUUGGGCGUAAAGGGCUCGUAGGCGGUUUGUCGCGUCGGGAGUGAAAUCCACUGGCUUAACUGGUGGCUUGCUUUCGAUACGGGCAGACUGGAGGUAUGCAGGGGAGAACGGAACUCCUGGUGUAGCGGUGAAAUGCGCAGAUAUCAGGAGGAACACCGGUGGCGAAGGCGGUUCUCUGGGCAUGUCCUGACGCUGAGGAGCGAAAGCGUGGGGAGCGAACAGG
rnacentral:rRNA from 1 species